GGAUGUGAGGGUGAUCUGGCUACGCCAUCUGUCACCCCACUGAUCGCCAGGGUUGAUUCCGCUGAUCUGGCUGGCUAGGCGGGUGUCCCCUUCCUCCCUCAUUGCUCUGUGUGUGUCCCUCCCGAAGCUGUGUGCUUCUGGAAGGCCUUCCCCAAUAGAGAUGGCUCGGUCUUCAGUUGAGGUAUGUACAGGAGUAGCUGCGCUCCUUUGCUAGAACCUCCAAGCAAGCUCUCAAGAAAAGCAGAGUGAGUAUGACAUUAUAACCCUGUUAUCUUACAAUCUUGUUAAUCAUUAUUAAACCACUAAUAAAAAUUUUUAA
ensembl:misc_RNA 7SK 7SK RNA